rnacentral:rRNA from 1 species
CGUUAGGGACCGAGCGUUGUCCGGGAUUCAUUGGGCGUAAAGAGCUCGUAGGCGGCUGCUCAAGUCGAAUGUGAAAACUCGAGGCUUAACCUCGAGCCUGCAUUCGAUACUGGGCGGCUAGAGUCUGGUAGGGGGAUCUGGAAUUCCUGGUGUAGCGGUGGAAUGCGCAGAUAUCAGGAGGAACACCGGUGGCGAAGGCGGGAUCCUGGGCCAGUACUGACGCUGAGGAGCGAAAGCGUGGGGAGCAAACAGGAUUAGAUACCCUGGUAGUCCACGCCGUAAACGAUGGGCGCUAGGUGUGGGAGGUCAUCGACUCCUUCCGUGCCGCAGCUAACGCAUUAAGCGCCCGCCUGGGGAGUACGGCCGCAAGGCUA